rnacentral:tRNA from 1 species
GCGCCUAUGGCUUAAUGGUAAAGCGCGUGACUAGUAAUCACGGUGAGUCAAUUACAACCUACGAAGAAAAAGUACAGCUCAUAGAACCCCCUUGCAGAGAUUCUAGGUUCGAUUCCUAGUGGGCGCA